UACGUAGGGGGCGAGCGUUGUCCGGAUUUACUGGGCGUAAAGCGCGUGCAGGUGGCUCAUUACGCCCGGCGUGAAAGCCCCCGGCUCAACCGGGGAGGGUCGUCGGGGACGGGUGAGCUUGAGGGUAGCAGGGGCUGGUAGAAUUCCCGGUGUAGUGGUGAAAUGCGUAGAGAUCGGGAGGAAUACCCGUGGCGAAGGCGGCCAGCUGGGCUACACCUGACACUGAGACGCGAAGGCGUGGGGAGCGAACGGG
rnacentral:rRNA from 1 species